UACGUAGGGUGCAAGCGUUAAUCGGAAUUACUGGGCGUAAAGCGUGCGCAGGCGGUUCGGAAAGAGAGGUGUGAAAUCCCAGGGCUUAACCUUGGAACUGCACUUCUAACUACCGGGCUAGAGUACGUCAGAGGGGGGUAGAAUUCCACGUGUAGCAGUGAAAUGCGUAGAGAUGUGGAGGAAUACCGAUGGCGAAGGCAGCCCCCCGGGAUGAUACUGACGCUCAUGCACGAAAGCGUGGGGAGCAAACAGG
rnacentral:rRNA from 1 species